rnacentral:rRNA from 1 species
AGUGAACGCUGGCGGUAGGCCUAACACAUGCAAGUCGAACGGCAGCACAGUAAGAGCUUGCUCUUACGGGUGGCGAGUGGCGGACGGGUGAGGAAUACAUCGGAAUCUACUUUUUCGUGGGGGAUAACGUAGGGAAACUUACGCUAAUACCGCAUACGACCUACGGGUGAAAGCAGGGGAUCUUCGGACCUUGCGCGAUUGAAUGAGCCGAUGUCGGAUUAGCUAGUUGGCGGGGUAAAGGCCCACCAAGGCGACGAUCCGUAGCUGGUCUGGGAGGAUGAUCCGCCACACCGGAACUGAGACACGGUCCAGACGCCUAAGGGAGGCAGCAGAGGGGAAUAUUGGACAAUGGGCUGAAGCAUGAUCCAGCCAUACCGCGUGGGUGAAGAAGGCCUUCGGGUUGUAAAGCCCUUUUGUUGGGAAAGAAAAGCAGCAGGUUAAUACCCCGCUGUUCUGACGGUACCCAAAGAAUAAGCACCGGCUAACUUCGUG